GUUAACAUAUGAAUCUGACUAUUGUUGACUCAAAAAAAAAAUCCUCAAUUUUUUUAUAUUCUGUGAAAACAGCUACAGAACAUUUCUUCUGCUUAUGCAACAUAGUGGCAUGAUGUGUUACGCAAUUCUUCAAAUGCGUUUCUUAUGAAACUUCAGCUUGUAUGCUUAUGCUUCAUGGAAAGCAGAAUUGCAAAAGACCAAAGGAAAAAAAAAAUCAGUUGUGUUUGCAAUGCUUUAGGCCCGCUUGGAAGUACACCGCCUUGGAAUUACAGGAUUUACAAAGAAAGAACAGAGGGAAUUGGAGCAAGAACGUGCUGUCAUGUUGGGAGCAAAGCCUCCAAAAAAGGAAUAUGUAAACUACAAAAUACUUCAAGAGCAAAUCAAAGAAAAACAAGCAGCAAAGAAGAAAGAAAAUAUGAUGGAAAAUAAAUCUGAUUCUCUGAAGA